ACUGCUGGUGGCUGUUGGUGCAGCCACUGAUGGGAAGCUGGAGGAGAAUUAUUCCGGUGAAAGCCUCGAGAAAAAUCAGUCAGGGAAGGCUGUGCCACCAGAGCCCCAUCCCGUCACGCUCAGACAAAAUCCUCAGGAGGACAAACUCUGUUGCCAUGAAAAUAUCCAGCUGCACGGCUGCAUGGCUGAUCUGGAGCAAAACCAAAGUUUUGGGCAGUUUUUGAAGAGGAGAGAGAGGAGCUGUGUCCAGAAAUCCCAGGUUAAAAAUGCACUGGAAACACCAGGGGGAAAGUAACAAAACAAUCAGCUCUUGGGAAUAUAUGGAGCUGACCCAGAAGUCAUGGAGCAACUUAGCAGUGACAAGACUGGAAAGAGGGAGCUCUGCACUGACAGAGGGAAUUUGAAGGAGAGCAACAAUCAGCCUGGCAUUUGUAUCCUCAAUUAAAGGCGAGAAGGAGCCAGCGGUUCUUGCUGGCAACAACAGCCGUUGUGUUUUGACGAGUUAAUAAACAUCUCCCCCAGGAGUGAGGGAGCUCCAGCAUGCUCUGCUUCACCCGUGUUUUACGUCUUGACUAACAGAGUUUGCCGAGCAAGAGGUGUUUUUCUAAUCUGAGAACUCGCUGCCUCACGUUUCCCACCUCUCCCCGGAGCUGCCGUGCUUCCCUGCUGCUUCCCUGAUGCUUCUGUUAUCUCCUGGAGGGCAACCCGUGGCUGCAGCCCCCCCUCUCCUUCCUGCCACCCCCAAUCCCACGUUAUCACUUGGAUCCCGUGCCAUGGAGCCGUUUAUCAGCCUCAGAAGCUGAGAUAGCAGGGUUCAUCUUGCUCUGGGACCUGUGUGCUCCCAUGGCACAGGAUUCCUGUGCUGACAGGAUUGCCUUCAUCACCAAAAACACCACGAGCUGCUGCUGAGUGCCAGGGCUCUGCAUCAUUGCUCUACCAACACAGAGCCCCACGACCUGUGGGUUUUCACAGCCUUGUGGACCAAAAUCCAAGAUUUCAUCAUCAUUUUCAGACCAGCAUGUGAGGAAGGCCUCGGAAACCUGAAGAGGGACACUGCUCCAGAACCUGCUGUUACUAGGAUGCCCCUCAGGGCUGCGUCCACCUGGAGGUGGCUGCUGCCUUCGUGCCUUUUGGCAAGAAGAAUCCAGUCCUUGGAUGUGGCAUGAGGCAGCCCUGGGAAGGUGGAACAUGGUCCGCAGAGCCAAAUUGCCAGUUCCAACUUGUAGAACAUUAUUGCUCCUGAAUUAUGGAUGGUUAUUGCACCUCCUGGACAAUAAAUUAUUGAGCUGACAUGCUGGAUGGAGAGUGAGGAGCAGGGGGCUUGCUCAUGGCAGGCGGGUCUGGAAUGUGGUGUCUUCACGGGGAGUGGGGGAUGUUUUUUCCCCCUUUCCUUCCUGAGCAAGAGCAUCUCAGCCUGAAGCUGUGGAAACAGCAGAGCCCUGCUCACCCUGUCUCACCCAGCCAACUGUGAGGGCAGCCCCAGCCAAAAAUCCCCAGUGAGGGAUCCUGGAGAAUCCCUGAACUGGGACAAGGAUAGAAACUCCAGGGUCCCCUGUCUGCCUAUCCUGCAGCACCAUCAUGGGCACUUCUGAGCCCAGUAACCUCUCCUUGGCCUCAGGGGGUGUGGGACAUGGUUUAUUUAGCUGAUUAGGUGCUAUUUAUCUCCCAGGCUGUGCUGGUCCAGCAAUUCUGGCAAGGUCUGCUGAGCCCUUGUCUGACACGUGCUGCCGGCAGCCUUGGGCUUUAGGGACUCCCUGAGGGGGCUGUUCCAUCAUGUUUAACAGACCUUGACAGACCCGUGUGCCCCGUGAGUUUGCCUAAAUGCUUUCUGGGGGCCACUUAGGCUGCAGGUCUCCAUAGCACCCUGUGGCAAUGAGUUCCAUAAUUUAAUCGUGGGUGGCGUGGAAAAAGCGCUGUCUUUUGUUUGUCCCUAAAUCUGCUGCCUGAUAACUCGAUUUGGACACUCCUAGUUCCUCUCUCGGAAGAAACAGGGAAUUAUCACUGCCUCUGCACCUGCUCCACAGCACUGGUGCUUUUAUACUGUCCUGCUGUGGCUUUUCUUUCUCUCUCCUUUAUUCAUCCCUCCUGGCAAUUUCCAAUUCUCCUGCCAGCUCUGCUUCACACGGAGGACGGAGAUGGAAAGAUCCCUGCUUUGCUUUGUAGCUGUGCUGAUCUCCCUCUUCUCUUCCAGAUGCUCAGGAGGCACUGCUGACCCUGGUCCAGA